rnacentral:lncRNA from 1 species
UAUGAUCUAAAUAGUGCUAAAUUGUGUUUACUUCUGUGGUAUCUAAAAAUCAAGUGGAGAGUCGGGGAUAUACUAAUUCCCAAACUUUGCUUUCUCCUCAUAAGUUAUAUUGUUUUGUAGUCCAUCAGUAGGGGUUCUUGGAUUGGAUCACUCAAUUUUUAUUUACUUGAUUCCUUCUGCUAUAGCUAUCUCUAUUCAUGCAUGCAAACCUUAUGUAUAUAAAAUUUUGCUCCUACAAUACUUUUUUCCUUCCCCAAAGUUACAUCUUGUAGGUGAAGCAAAAUUAGGGAUGCAAGGCCUUGAUAUUGCAGUAUUUAUUCUAUUUCUCGCAAUUUGAUCUGCCAUCAAUAAUUUUAGUUUCAGAUGACAUAAUGGCAAGAAACAUAUCCCUUCAUGUUUGGUUCAUUGGAUUGAUCAAAUUCCUACUCCUAAUUUCUCGUUUGCAUGCUGAUUGUUGGUGCUUACUGUCGUAUAAUUUGAUGUUGGCAUUUUUUAGCCUUAUUCUGCCAAUAUGUAAAAAUGACAAAUUAGUUUAUUGCAGAGUAUCAGAGUAUGUCAUUCUGGUUUCUCUACGAUAUGGGAAUCAUAAACA